GAGUUUGAUCUUGGCUCAGAUUGAACGCUGGCGGCAUGCCUUACACAUGCAAGUCGCACGGUCAGCAAUGGCAGUGGCGGACGGGGUGAGUAACACGUAGGAAUCUAUCUCUGGGUGGGGGACAACAGUGGGAAACUACUGCUAAUACCGCAUGAUACCUGAGGGUCAAAGGCGUAAGUCGCCUGGAGAGGAGCCUGCGUCUGAUUAGCUUGUUGGUGGGGUAAAGGCCUACCAAGGCUACGAUCAGUAGCUGGUCUGAGAGGAUGAUCAGCCACAUUGGGACUGAGACACGGCCCAAACUCCUACGGGAGGCAGCAGUGGGGAAUAUUGGACAAUGGGCGAAAGCCUGAUCCAGCAAUGCCGCGUGUGUGAAGAAGGUCUUCGGAUUGUAAAGCACUUUUGGCAGGGACGAUGAUGACGGUACCUGCAGAAUAAGCCCCGGCUAACUUCGUGCCAGCAGCAGCCGCGGU
rnacentral:rRNA from 1 species